GUAGGGAAUAUUGGGCAAUGGAUGCAAGUCUGACCCAGCCAUCCCGCGUGCCGGAAGAAGGCCCUCAGGGUUGUAAACGGCUUUUGACGGUGAAGAAUCGACAGGAUGCGUCCUGUUUUGACGGUAGCCGUUGAAUAAGCACCGGCUAACUCCGUGCCAGCAGCCGCGGUAAUACGGAGGGUGCGAGCGUUGUCCGGAUGUAUUGGGUUUAAAGGGUGCGUAGGCUGGAAGGUCAGUCAGCGGUGAAAAGCUGUCGCUUAACGAUAGUCUUGCCGCAGAUACUUCCUUUCUUGGAUGAGGAGGAGGCCACUGGAACGGAUGGUGUAGCGGUGAAAUGCAUAGAUAUCAUCCAGAACACCGAUUGCGAAGGCAGGUGGCUGUACCUUAAUCGACGCUGAUGCACGAAAGCAUGGGGAGCAAACAGGAUUAGAAACCCCAGUAGUCC
rnacentral:rRNA from 1 species